rnacentral:rRNA from 1 species
CACCAGGUUGAUUCUGCCUGACGUAGGUGCUAGCCUCUAAGAUUUAGCCAUGCAUGCUCUGUGAACCGAAUGGGGAACGGCGGACGGCUCAGUAAUGUUGCGAUGAUCUGCUCUAGUUGUGUAAGAUAACCGCGGAAACCUGUGGCUAAGAGACUAGAAUGAGACGCAACCCUAUCAGUUUGUUGGUAGUGUAACGGACUACCAAGACUAUGACGGGUGACGGGAAAUCAGUGUUUGAUUCCGGAGAGGGAGCCUGAGAGAUGGCUCCCACGUCCAAGGAUGGCAGCAGGCGCGAAAAUUGUCCACUCUUUGUUGAGGAGACAGUUAUGAGGCGUGAUUGUAAGAGCGAAGAGUAAACAUCUUUGUGUAAUGCAACUAGAGGGCAAGUUUUGGUGCCAGCAGCCGCGGUAACUCCAACUCUAGAAGUGCCUAUUGUGGAUGCUGCAGUUAAAAAGUCCGUAGUCGUUGAUGCAAUUAAAAGGUGUAGAUCAAGUGCACCAAGUUUGUUAGUUGUGGCGGAGCGGACAGGGAGCAUGGUAUAGGUUGGCGAAGAAUGAAAUCUCAAGACCCAACCUGGACCAACUGAGGCGAAAGCGGUGCUCUUGUACGCGUCUGUGGAUCAAGGACGAAGGCUAGAGGAUCGAAAGUGAUUAGACACCGCUGUAGUUCUAGCAGUAAACUAUGCCGACAUUCUCUGUUGUUGAGACGGGGAGGGGAGAAAUCUUAGUUUUCGGGCUCUGGGGAUAGUACGCUUGCAAGAGUGAAACUUAAAGCGAAAUUGACGGAAGAUCACCACAAGGAGUGGAUUGUACUGCUUAAUUUGACUCAACACGGGAAAACUUACCAGGGCCAAGUCUCUCGUAGAUUGGCGACAUGAGAGGGGCAAGAGUGGUGCAUGGCCGUUGGAAAUUGAUGGGAUGACCUUUAGCUUAAGUGCUGUAACCAGUGAGAUCUUCUAGACAGGUGUCUUACUGACACAGGAAGGAGAAGGCUAUAACAGGUCCGUGAUGCCCUCAGAUGCCCUGGGCCGCAAGUGCAAUACAAUAUCCGUUUGAGCGACAUAAAUAUGCUUACGGAUGAGUAGGAUUAGCUCUUGUAAAUGAGCUAUGAAUGAGGAAUUCCUAGUAACUGUGUCUCAUCAAGGCACAGUGAAUGCGUCCCUGUUCUUUGUACACACCGCCCGUCACUAUUGCGGAUGGCAAUCAAGAUGAAGAGCCUAGGUUCUGAAUAUUGAUCGUUAGACAUAAUACAAGUCGUAACAAGGUAACGAUUGGAGAACCAGCCGUUGGAUCAUUCAAAAACCUUUUUUGGCGGCAGUGCAUCCUGAUAGCAUCACGUUCAGAUUUGCACUGUGCACUGUUUUUUGGACAUAGUAUAUGAGUAGUAGGACUGCUUAGUGAGUGUGUGUAUUCAACCCCUGGUAUGGGAUCAAUCGACUCUGGUAGCGAUGACGAACGCAUACGAGUGCGAAACGUGUAUCUUUUCUAAUGUGCAGCAGUGCUGCAGGCAACGCCCUGAACUUAAGCAUAUCAGUAAGGGCAGGAAAAGAAACCAACUGGGAUUCCACUAGUAGCGGCGAGUGAACAUGGAUGAGCUCUAAUGGUAAAGUGCAAGCACUGUUGUAAGAGCACUGCUAGCUAGAUCUGCUGGAAUGCAGAGCACAUGCGGGUGACAGCCCCGGACAGCAACAGCAGUGCGGUAGAGCGAGUAGCGUUGCUUGGUAGUGCAAUGUGAACGGGAGGUAGUAGCUUCCAAGGCUAAAUAUACCCAGAGAUCGAUAGCAAAUAAGUAGCGCGAGCGAAGUGUGAAAAACGUCAUUUGGACAGUGAAAAGUGAAAAUACCAGGGCGUAAGCCGAGAGUCUCGGACCCGUCUUGAAACACGGA